AUGUUCAAGCUGGUUUUAGAAAAGGCAGAAACCAGAGAUCAAAUUGCCAACAUCCAUUGGAUCAUCAAAAAAGCAAGGGAGUUCCAGAAAAACAUCUAUUUCUGCUUUAUUGACUAUGCCAAAGCCUUUGACUGUGUGGAUCACAAUAAACUGUGGAAAAUUCUGAAAGAAAUGCGAACACCAGACCACCUGACCUGCCUCUUGAGAAACUUGUAUGCAGGUCAGGAAGCAACAGUUAGAACUGGACAUGGAACAACAGACUGGCUCCAAAUAGGAAAAGGAGUAUGUCAAGGCUGUGUAUUGUCACCUUGCUUAAUUAACUUAUAUGCAGAGUACAUCAUGAGAAACGCUGGGCUGGAGGAAGCACAAGCUGGAAUCAAGAUUGCCGGGAGAAAUAUCAAUAACCUCAGAUAUGCAGAUGACACCACCCUUAUGGCAGAAAGUAAAGAAGAACUAAAGAGCCUCUUGUUCAAAGUGAAAGAGGAGAGUGAAAAAGUUGGCUUAAAGCUCAACAUUCAGAAAACUAAGAUCAUGGCAUCCGGUCCCAUCACUUCAUGGCAGAUGGAUGGGGAAACAGUGGAAACAGUGGCUGACUUUAUUUUUCUGGGCUCCAAAAUCACUGCAGAUGGUGAUUACAGCCAUGAAAUUAAAAGACACUUACUCCUUGGAAGGAAAGUUAUGACCAAACUAGACAACAUAUUAAAAAGCAGAGACAUUCCUUUGUCAACAAAGGUCCAUCUAGUCAAGGCUAUGGUUUUUCCAGUGGUCAUGUAUGGAUGUGAGAGUUGGACUAUAAAGAAAGCUGAGUGCCGAAGAAUUGAUGCUUUUGUACUGUGGUGUUGGAGAAGACUCUUGAGAGUCCCUUGGACUGCAAGGAGAUCCAACCAGUCCAUUCUAAAGGAGAUCAGUCCUGGGUGUUCAUUGGAAGGACUGAUGUUGAAGUUGAAACUUCAAUACUUUGGCCACCUGAUGCAAAGAGCUGACUCGUUUGAAAAGACCCUGAUGCUGGGAAAGAUUGAGGGCAUGUGGAGAAGGGGGCGACAGAGGAUGAGAUGGUUGGAUGGCAUCACCGACUCAAUGGAUAUGGGUUUGGGUGGACUCCGGGAGUUGGUGGUAGACAGGGAGGCCUGGCGUGCUGCAGUUCAUGGGGUCGCAAAGAGUCCAACAUGA
rnacentral:lncRNA from 1 species